AUUAGUAUUGAGAGUAAAACAUUACUGAGACUUCUUUUCCCUUCAUAGGCCAAAUUCUCUGCUGGCAUAUUUGAUGCAUAUAUGAUGCAAUUUGAAGUCUCCACUGGGUCUUCACCACUUUUUGUUACAGAGAACACAGGACAUUUUUUAUUAUUGUUAUAAUUUUGUAUAAACAAGGAUACAAUUGAAAUAGAAGCACUUUCUUUCACAGAUCCUGGAUUUGAGAGGCUAUUUAUGAACAUCAAACUGUGGUCCAUUUCUCCCUGGAGUAUCAUGCAGAUGUGCAGCUGCACAGCUGCAGCUCUUCAACACCAGUGGAAGUGUGAGCUAUCCACAGACACCAGUAAAAAGCCAGGCCCAUGCAGGCCACACAAGGACCUGCAUCUAUAUCCAGAGCAAAAACUCCACAGUUGUCUCAAGGGAGCAAAGUUUCUCUCAUGCCUGAUUCAUAACCAGAAGAGAAUUUCUCAGAAAUUGGAUUUUAGCAUUUGUCAGCCACAAGUUGUCAACCAAGCCUAUUUUCUCCUGAAAUCACUUGGAACAAGGGUCAUCCCAAAACAAAAGCUAUUCAAGCAGCCUAUCUGA
rnacentral:lncRNA from 1 species